GAUUUCUGGCGUUUCAUUUCAGGCCGGCCACGGUUUCGUGUGUUAGUGCUUGAUGUUCUGGCCAUCCUUCCAAUUGCUAUUCACUUCUCUUCAUUGAUUGGUGAGUGGUAUUGGAUCUUUUACUUUGAAAAAAUUAGAGUGUUUCAAGCAGGCUUUAUGCUAUGAAUACAUUAGCAUGGAAUAAUAAUUUAGGACUUCGGUUCUAUUUUGUUGGUUUCUAGGACUGAAGUAAUGAUUGAUAGGGAUAGUUGGGGGUGCUAGUAUUCAGCGGCCAGAGGUGAAAUUCUCGGAUUCGCUGAAGACUAACUUAUGCGAAAGCAUU
rnacentral:rRNA from 1 species